CAAAUCAGGUAGGAUUACCCGCUGAACUUAAGCAUAUCAAUAAGCGGAGGAAAAGAAACUAACAAGGAUUCCCCUAGUAACUGCGAGUGAAGCGGGAAAAGCUCAAAUUUGUAAUCUGGCGGUCUUGGGCCGUCCGAAUUGUAAACUAGAGAAGCGUUAUCCGCGCUGGACCGUGUACAAGUCCCCUGGAAUGGGGCGUCAUAGAGGGUGAGAAUCCCGUCUUUGACACGGACUACCAGGGCUUUGUGAUGCGCUCUCAAAGAGUCGAGUUGUUUGGGAAUGCAGCUCAAAAUGGGUGGUAAAUUCCAUCUAAAGCUAAAUAUUGGCGAGAGACCGAUAGCGAACAAGUACCGUGAGGGAAAGAUGAAAAGAACUUUGGAAAGAGAGUUAAACAGUACGUGAAAUUGCUGAAAGGGAAACGCUUGAAGUCAGUCGCGUUGGCUAGGGAUCAGCCUUACUCUGGUGGGGUGUACUUCCUUGUUGACGGGUCAGCAUCAGUUUUGGUUGCUGGAUAAAGGCUAAGGGAAUGUGGCACCUUCGGGUGUGUUAUAGCCCUUGGUCAGAUACAGUGGCUGGGACUGAGGAACUCAGCACGCGCAAGCUGUGCUUAGGAUGCUG
rnacentral:rRNA from 1 species